UUCUAGCUCCUCUUCUCAUUAGUGAUGUAAUUCCCUCAGGAAUCUCCUCAUAAAGAAAGACAUCUGUUUCCAUUUUCUUCUUAGAGGAACAGGAUCUCUAUACAUCAUUGAAUAGAUUAGUGUCAUGAGUGUUAGCACUUUCCAUGAAGCACAAUCCCAAAGACCAUGAAAAAUUGAGAUCCGCAGAGGAGAGGAUGGAAAGUGUUUCCCCCACACCACAGGGUGUUUUACUGCUGCUGCUGCUGUUUAAGUUGCAUCUUUUCAACAAAGUUGACUCUCUCCCUACAAAGGAAAGUUUGUAUCAGCUACUGAGAAGACUUGGACUGGAACUUACUUCACCAGAUCUCAUGGUUCUUGGGCCUUCAGACUCAGGUUGGAACUAUGCUAUCAGCUUUCCUGGAUCUCCAGCUUGCUGACUACACAAUCUAGGACUUCUCAGCCUUUGUAAUUGUGAAUACUUCUAUGAUUAUGUGAAGAAGCCUGGGCUAGCCUGCUGAAGGAUGAAGGACCAUGUAGAAAGCAGCCUCAGCUAUUCCAGUUGAGUCACCAGACGUGUGAAUGAGAUGAUCCUAUACAUCAGCCUCAGCUUAGUUGCCUUUGCCAGAAUUUCUCAACCAAACCUAAGUAUUAUGAAAAGUAAUAAUUAUUUGUUAAAUUUGGCCAAUACAUAGUACAUCUUGGGGUGGAUUGUUACCAGUUAGCCAACACUAAGUGGUAUACCAUGUCAUGCUAUACUUAUUUCUUUUCCUUAGGAAAUUGACAAAGUGUUUUACUGAUGUUAACUUGGAAUGCAUUUAAAGACAAAAAAAGGAAAACCUUAAUCCAACAUUGACAUUUCAUUCCUGCAUCUUUAAUGGUUUGAUCAGAAUAAUCAGUGACUCAUAAUUAUAAUGGAUGCAUAAGUGGGCACAUUUUGAUAUUAAAAAAGUGAGGUAAUAUACACAUUACUAAAUAUGAUAAUGCUAGUGAUUUUCCUACUCAACUUAUGUUUAAGGACAUGUCACCAAUAGUGGUAUUCAACUUCAUUUGAAAUUCAAAACAUUAAAGUUAAUUUUUAAACAUUUUUAUUGAGUUGAAGCUAGAGAGUUGAAGAAAAAAUAAGAAAAUUAAGAUUUCACUUCAUAUACAUGUAAUGGAUGUAUUUUGUGGUAAUGCAGUUUUAGUGUUUAGACCACUAUGAAACUAGUAAGAUAGUGGUUUUAAGUGUUGAUCUAGUUAUUUUGAACCUAUAGCUUUGAAAAUGCAUGAAGCUCAUUUUAACAUAAAAUAUAUGGUUUUAAGAUGAAUUCUUCCUCAUAUUGCAUUCUUUCCUCCCUCUACCAGUUUCCUCUCUAUAGGUAUUUGUAUAUAUAUUGACUCUUAGACAAAUUGAGUAGAUAUUAUAUCUGAGUCAACAAAUGUGUAUAUAGACACAUGAACACUAAGAAAGGGCAUUAACAUUUCUAAAAUACGUCAGAUGUACUGACAUAA
rnacentral:lncRNA from 10 species